GACGAACGCUGGCGGCGUGCAUAACACAUGCAAGUCAAGGGGGCCCGCAAGGGCAACCGGCGAACGGGUGCGUAACACGUAAGCGACCUACCUCGAUGUGGGGCAUAGCCGGCCUAACGGCCGGGUAAUUCCGCAUACGCUCUUGGAGGGGCAUAUCUCCGAGAUGAAACCAGCAAUGGGCAUUGAGAGGGGCUUGCGGCCUAUCAGCUAGUUGGUGAGGUAACGGCNCACCAAGGCUACGACGGGUAGCUGGUCUGAGAGGAUGGCCAGCCACAUUGGGACUGAGAAACGGCCCAGACUCCUACGGGAGGCAGCAGUGGGGAAUCUUGCGCAAUGGGCGAAGGCCUGACGCAGCCACGCCGCGUGAGUGAAGAAGGCCUGGUGUAAGA
rnacentral:rRNA from 1 species